AAUGAUAUAAAUUGAUAACGAUUAAUUAAGCUAACGUGUGUGGCAGCUUUUAGUUUGAGUGCACACGAGAGGUCCAGAUUUCAAUAUUGUUUGCCUAAAUUUUUAUAAUUUUGUCUGAAAACACACCAUUUUGAAGCCUUCUUUUGAAACAUUUGCAGGUUCUGACUAGCCGCAAACAUUGAAGUUUCAUCAACCUAAUAAAAUUAAACCAUGCCUUUUUUAAUCAAGCCAACACCAAAAAAAAAAAAACACUUUUUAAUUAUUAGUCCUGAAUUUUUU
rnacentral:lncRNA from 1 species